CAGCAGCCGCGGGAAAACGAAGGGGGCUAGCGUUGUUCGGAAUUACUGGGCGUAAAGCGCACGUAGGCGGAUAUUUAAGUCAGGGGUGAAAUCCCGCAGCUCAACUGCGGAACUGCCUUUGAUACUGGGUAUCUUGAGUAUGGAAGAGGUAAGUGGAAUUGCGAGUGUAGAGGUGAAAUUCGUAGAUAUUCGCAGGAACACCAGUGGCGAAGGCGGCUUACUGGUCCAUUACUGGCGCUGAGGUGCGAAAGCGUGGGGAGCAAACAGGAUUAGAGACCCCUGUAGUCCCUGUCUCUUAUAC
rnacentral:rRNA from 1 species